GAUGAACGCUGGCGGCGUGCCUAAUACAUGCAAGUCGAGCGAACAGACGAGAAGCUUGCUCCUCUGAUGUUAGCGGCGGACGGGUGAGUAACACGUGGAUAACCUACCUAUAAGACUGGGAUAACUUCGGGAAACCGGAGCUAAUACCGGAUAAUAUUUUGAACCGCAUGGUUCAAUAGUGAAAGACGGUUUUGCUGUCACUUAUAGAUGGAUCCGCGCCGCAUUAGCUAGUUGGUAAGGUAACGGCUUACCAAGGCAACGAUGCGUAGCCGACCUGAGAGGGUGAUCGGCAACACUGAAAUGGAGAAAGGUUCCAGAUGCCUAGGGGAGGCAGAAGAAGGGAAUUUGCGGAAAGGGGGGAAAGCUUGAGGGGGAAAGGCGGGGUGAGUGAUGAAGGUUUUCGGAUCGUAAAACUCGGUAAUAAGGAAGGAAAAAAGGUGAAAGUAACGAGGAACGUUUGGAGGUAACUUAAUAAGAAAGCAACGGUUAAUUACGU
rnacentral:rRNA from 1 species